rnacentral:rRNA from 1 species
GACGAACGCUGGCGGCGUGCUUAACACAUGCAAGUCGAGCGGUAAGGCCCUUUUGGGGGUACACGAGCGGCGAACGGGUGAGUAACACGUGGGUGACCUGCCCUCAGCUCUGGGAUAAGCCUGGGAAACUGGGUCUAAUACUGGAUAUGACCUUUCCUCGCAUGGGGUUGGGUGGAAAGUUUUCGGCUGGGAUGGGCCCGCGGCCUAUCAGCUUGUUGGUGGGGUGAUGGCCUACCAAGGCGACGACGGGUAGGCCGGCCUGAGAGGGCGGACCGGCCACACUGGGACGUGAGACACGGCCCACGACUCCUACGGGAGGCAGCAGUGGGGAAGUAUUGCGCAAUGGGCGGAAGCCUGACGCAGCGACGCCGCGUGGGGGAGUGACGGCCUU